UACGAAGGGGGCUAGCGUUGCUCGGAAUUACUGGGCGUAAAGCGCACGUAGGCGGCUUUCUAAGUCGGAGGUGAAAUCCUGGAGCUCAACUCCAGAACUGCCUUCGAUACUGGAGAGCUUGAGUUCGAGAGAGGUGAGUGGAAUUGCGAGUGUAGAGGUGAAAUUCGUAGAUAUUCGCAGGAACACCAGUGGCGAAGGCGGCUCACUGGCUCGAUACUGACGCUGAGGUGCGAAAGCGUGGGGAGCAAACAGG
rnacentral:rRNA from 1 species